CUUUUCUGCAAAACCAAAGUAUUUCCAGAAAAUGUCUUCGUUUGAAAUAACACAAACCUGAUUCAGAUUUUUGUCCCUACCACUGGGAAUAUAUGUGUAAAAAGAGGAUCUGUGUGUCAAGAGUCUCUUCUGGCCCCACUGUUCGUCAUACGUGUGAAAUCAUAACCCACUGAUUUCUUUCUUUCUUUUGUCUUGGUGGGACAUCGAAAUAAUUUCUUCAGCGAUCUAUUGAUAAUGCAAACGCUGUUUGGGGACAGAUAGGAAGGAAGAGAGAAAUUCCAAAUGUGAGCAGAAAAUCUGUGAUGGUUCCUCCAAGGGCAUCCCCUCAGCCUUGUCUGCUGGCUCGGGAGAAAUGAGGCAGAGCAGACUUACUGGUCUCAGUUUUUCCUGCCAUAUCAUUGUCUUUGGUUCAUGAUAAACUCUGCUAAGCUGAUCAGAGAUUGAAGGAGCUCCCUGCUGCCUAGUCAAGCAAUCAUUAGCCUACGAAGAGGGUCGUUUCAGCCGUCCUACCUUCCAG
rnacentral:lncRNA from 1 species